rnacentral:rRNA from 1 species
UGAUCAACUUGGUCAUUUAGAGGAGGUAAAGUCGUAACAAGGUUUCCGUAGGUGAACCUGCGGAAGGAUCAUUA